CAGGGCUCACCUCCUGCCACUCCAUGACUCCACUCCAUGCCAGGAACUUGUUGUUGACCAUCUGGACAGGGCCCGCGACACCACCAGGUCCCACUGCCUGGGGAGGAGACAGGGGAUGAGGCCCAUGAAGAUCUUCUUCUUGGACGAGUACAGGAGCAUGAGCACGCGCACCUCGCAGGGGGAGAUGUGGGGGAAGAGCAUGCAGCCCGCCUGUGGGUGGGGGUGGGGAGGGAACGAUCAUCACGGGACAGAAAUCCUCAAGGUUAACACCAGGACCCUAAAUGACUGGUGUGUAGCCAGAACAUGUCAUUCUGGGAGCCUGUGAACGUGCACCCUGGUGUCCCCCCCCCCACCGUGACUCUGGGGUCAGGACUGGGGCCCCAUGUGCCAGGUGAGGGUCCUGAGAGGGCUCCACCUGCCGCCCACGUGCCCCGAGGUCAUCCCUGUCCUGUGGAGUUUGCUGCUGGGCCCCGCUGACAGAGGCCACCAGGCCCGGGGGGUUAAGAGCACAAACGCAGGACCAGACUGCCUGGGAGUAACCCUGGCUCUGCUACCUCCUAGCUGUGUGACCUAAGGCAGGUCACCCCUGGACCUCAGUUUCCCCACGUGUAAAACAGCACAACAACGGCGCACAGAGUAAGCGCCACAUAAACGCUCAUUACACAAGA